rnacentral:rRNA from 1 species
UCGAGAAUAUUCGACAAUGGGCGAAAGCCUGAUCGAGCGACGCCGCGUGCAGGAUGAAGGCCUUCGGGUUGUAAACUGCUUUUCUACGGGAAGAAUUUGCAUCCUUCGGGUUGCAUAUGACGGUACCGUGGGAAUAAGUGGCUGCAAACUUCGUGCCAGCAGCCGCGGUAAUACGAAGGCCACAAGCGUCAUCCGGAUUUAUUGGGCGUAAAGAGCAUGUAGGAGGUUUCGUGCGUCUUAUGUUAAAUUUCACCGCUCAACGGUGGAGCCGCAUGGGAUACGACGAGACUAGAGGGCGUUAGAGGCAGAUGGAACACAUGGUGUAGGGGUGAAAUCCGUUGAUAUCAUGUGGAACACCAAAGGCGAAGGCAUUCUGCUGGGACGUUCCUGACUCUGAGAUGCGAAAGCGUGGGGAGCAAAAAGG